rnacentral:rRNA from 1 species
CAGUCGUACCUGCGGGUAAUCAGCCUUUUGGGCAAGAUUCUGUGGAGCGUGAGGAGUUAAACGCCUUUCAUUGCCUGCAUAUUCGUGUACUUUGGGUGUACUUGCCUGUGUGGUUAGUUAACAUCAAUUUUUGGUAUCAUAAAAUGGUUGGAGGAAUGUAGCUUCGAUCUCGUAUUGAAG